UACAGAGGUCCCGAGCGUUGUUCGGAUUCACUGGGCGUAAAGGGUGCGUAGGUGGCUGGGAAAGUUUGAUGUGAAAGCUCAGGGCUUAACCCUGAAAUGGCAUUGAAUACUGCCUGGCUGGAGGUUUGGAGGGGGGACUGGAAUUCUUGGUGUAGCAGUGAAAUGCGUAGAUAUCAAGAGGAACACCAGUGGCGAAGGCGAGUCCCUGGACAACACCUGACACUGAGGCACGAAAGCGUGGGGAGCAAACAGG
rnacentral:rRNA from 1 species